UACGUAGGGGGCUAGCGUUGCUCGGAAUCACUGGGCGUAAAGGGCGCGUAGGCGGCCAUUCAAGUCGGGGGUGAAAGCCUGUGGCUCAACCACAGAAUUGCCUUCGAUACUGUUUGGCUUGAGUUUGGUAGAGGUUGGUGGAACUGCGAGUGUAGAGGUGAAAUUCGUAGAUAUUCGCAAGAACACCAGUGGCGAAGGCGGCUCACUGGCCCAUUACUGACGCUGAGGCACGAAAGCGUGGGGAGCAAACAGG
rnacentral:rRNA from 1 species